rnacentral:rRNA from 1 species
GAUGAACGCUGGCGGCGUGCCUAAUACAUGCAAGUCGAGCGAACGGACGAGAAUCUUGCGUCGCGGAUGUUAGCGGCGGACGGGUGAGUAACACGUGGAUAACCUACCUAUAAGACUGGGAUAACUUCGAGAAACCGGAGCUAAUACCGGAUAAUAUUUUGAACCGCAUGGUUCAAAAGUGAAAGACGGUCGUGCUGGCACGUAUAGAUGGAUCCGCGCUGCAUUAGGUAGUUGGGCAGGUAACGGGUUACCAAGGCAACGAUGCAUAGCCGACCGGAUAGGGUGAUCGGCCACCCUGGAGCUGAGCCACCCUCCAGGCUCCUACGGGAGGCACCAGUAGGGAAUCUUCCGCAAUGGGCGAAAGCAUGACGCAGCAGCGGGGCGUGAGUGGUGACGGUCUCCGGUUCGUAAUACUCUGUUAUUAGGGAAGAACAUAUGUGUACGUAACUGUGCACAUCUUGACGGUACCUAAUCAGAAAGCCACGGCUAACUACGUG